CAGGGAGACAACAAAAUGUUUAAUAUUAUUAUUUUGUCACCUUAGGUCGAUCGGUAUCUCACGUUUUUAAUUUAUUAAGAAUUUCAUUUCCUAAGUUUUUUCUAGGUCACACCCAUUAUUUUCCUGGGCCAUUAGCUCAGGUGGUUAGAGCGCACCCCUGAUAAGGGGGAGGUCCCUGGUUCAAGUCCAGGAUGGCCCAUAUCUCUAUGUUGGGGGUAUAGCUCAGUUGGUAGAGCGCCUGCUUUGCAAGCAGGAUGUCAGCGGUUCGAGUCCGCUUACCUCCACUGAUUACCACCUCUUCCAUAAUCAUGAAGAAAGGAAAAAUUUUGAGUUGUGAUCAAUUUCUGAACGAAUCUAGCUUCCUAAUGAAAUCAUUAAGAUGCUGGACUCAUUGAAUUAAUUUCAUUGUUUUCAGAGAACCUUGACAACUGCAUAGAUUAUUUUAAAGACAAUAAGCAUCUUUAAUGAUGCAGAUUUAUUAUUUGUGCGAAUGCAUUAAUAACAAUUCUAUUAAGCUGAUGCUUCAAUUUUUUGAAGUUAUU
rnacentral:tRNA from 1 species